rnacentral:rRNA from 1 species
UACGGGGGGAGCAAGCGUUGUUCGGAUUUACUGGGCGUAAAGGGCGCGUAGGCGGCGCAACAAGUCACUUGUGAAAUCUCCGGGCUUAACCCGGAGCGGCCAAGUGAUACUGUCGUGCUAGAGUGCGGAAGGGGCUACUGGAAUUCUCGGUGUAGCGGUGAAAUGCGUAGAUAUCCUGAGGAACACCGGUGGCGAAAGCGGCGCGCUGGAUCCCUUCUGACGCUGAGGCGCGAAAGCCAGGGGAGCAAACGGG